rnacentral:rRNA from 1 species
UGAGGAAUAUUGGUCAAUGGGCGCAAGCCUGAACCAGCCAUCCCGCGUGCAGGAAGGCGGCGCUAUGCGUUGUAAACUGCUUUUCCGGGGGGAGAAACUUGCGCACGUGUUGCGCAAUUGACGGUACCCUGGGAAUAAGCAUCGGCUAACUCCGUGCCAGCAGCCGCGGUAAUACGGAGGAUGCGAGCGUUAUCCGGAUUCAUUGGGUUUAAAGGGUGCGUAGGCGGACUAUUAAGUCAGUGGUGAAAUCCUGCAGCUUAACUGCAGAACUGCCAUUGAUACUGAUAGCCUUGAGUUUGGUUAAGGUAGGCGGAAUGUGUAGUGUAGCGGUGAAAUGCUUAGAUAUUACACAGAACACCAAUUGCGUAGGCAGCUUACUGAGCCGACACUGACGCUGAGGCACGAAAGCGUGGGGAUCGAACAG